rnacentral:rRNA from 1 species
AUUGAACGCUGGCGGCAGGCCUAACACAUGCAAGUCGAACGGUAACAGGAAGCAGCUUGCUGCUUUGCUGACGAGUGGCGGACGGGUGAGUAAUGUCUGGGAAACUGCCUGAUGGAGGGGGAUAACUACUGGAAACGGUAGCUAAUACCGCAUAACGUCGCAAGACCAAAGAGGGGGACCUUAGGGCCUCUUGCCAUCGGAUGUGCCCAGAUGGGAUUAGCUAGUAGGUGGGGUAACGGCUCACCUAGGCGACGAUCCCUAGCUGGUCUGAGAGGAUGACCAGCUACACUGGAACUGAGACACGGUCCAGACUCCUACGGGAGGCAGCAGUGGGGAAUAUUGCACAAUGGGCGCAAGCCUGAUGCAGCCAUGCCGCGUGUAUGAAGAAGGCCUUCGGGUUGUAAAGUACUUUCAGCGGGGAGGAAGGGAGUAAAGUUAAUACCUUUGCUCAUUGACGUUACCCGCAGAAGAAGCACCGGCUAACUCCGUG